UACAGAGGGUGCGAGCGUUAAUCGGAAUUACUGGGCGUAAAGCGCGCGUAGGCGGCUUUGCAAGUCGAGUGUGAAAUCCCCAGGCUUAACCUGGGAACUGCAUUCGAGACUGCAUAGCUAGAGUAUGGGAGAGGGGAGUGGAAUUUCAGGUGUAGCGGUGAAAUGCGUAGAUAUCUGAAGGAACAUCAGUGGCGAAAGCGACUUCCUGGACCAAUACUGACGCUCAUGUGCGAAAGCGUGGGGAGCAAACAGG
rnacentral:rRNA from 1 species